rnacentral:rRNA from 1 species
ACGCUCGACACCUACGGGAGGCAGCAGGUGGGGAAUAUUGCACAAUGGGGGAAACCCUGAUGCAGCGACGCCGCGUGAGCGAAGAAGUAUUUCGGUAUGUAAAGCUCUAUCAGCAGGGAAGAAAAUGACGGUACCUGACUAAGAACGCCCCGGCUAACUACGUGCCAACAGCCGCGGUAAUCUGAGCGGGCUGGCAAGGC